rnacentral:rRNA from 1 species
GAGGAAUAUUGGUCAAUGGACGAAAGUCUGAACCAGCCAAGUAGCGUGCAGGAUGACGGCCCUCUGGGUUGUAAACUGCUUUUAGUUGGGAAUAAAAAAGAGGACGUGUCCUCUAUUGUAUGUACCUUCAGAAAAAGGACCGGCUAAUUCCGUGCCAGCAGCCGCGGUAAUACGGAAGGUCCAGGCGGUAUCCGGAUUUAUUGGGUUUAAAGGGAGCGUAGGCGGAUUAUUAAGUCAGUGGUGAAAGACGGUGGCUCAACCAUCGUUAGCCAUUGAAACUGGUAGUCUUGAGUGCAGACAGGGAUGCUGGAACUCGUGGUGUAGCGGUGAAAUGCUUAGAUAUCACGAUGAACUCCGAUCGCGAAGGCAGGUGUCCGGGCUGCAACUGACGCUGAGGCUCGAAAGUGUGGGUAUCAAACAGGAUUAGAUACCCUGGUAGUCCACACAGUAAACGAUGUAUACUCGCGGUUUGCGAUAGACAGUAAGCCGCCAAGCGAAAGCAUUAAGUAUACCACCUGGGGAGUACGCCGGCAACGGUG